GCCGGAUGUUCCAGUUGAUCGCAUGGUCUUCUGGGAAAGCUUUCGCGGUAUGGGAUGGGGUCGCGUCCUAUCAGCUUGACGGCGGGGUAACGGCCCACCGUGGCUUCGACGGGUAGCCGGCCUGAGAGGGCGACCGGCCACAUUGGGACUGAGAUACGGCCCAGACUCCUACGGGAGGCAGCAGUGGGGAAUAUUGCACAAUGGGCGCAAGCCUGAUGCAGCGACGCCGCGUGAGGGAUGGAGGCCUUCGGGUUGUAAACCUCUUUUAUCGGGGAGCAAGCGAGAGUGAGUUUACCCGUUGAAUAAGCACCGGCUAACUACGUGCCAGCAGCCGCGGUAAUACGUAGGGUGCAAGCGUUAUCCGGAAUUAUUGGGCGUAAAGGGCUCGUAGGCGGUUCGUCGCGUCCGGUGUGAAAGUCCAUCGCUUAACGGUGGAUCCGCGCCGGGUACGGGCGGGCUUGAGUGCGGUAGGGGAGACUGGAAUUCCCGGUGUAACGGUGGAAUGUGUAGAUAUC
rnacentral:rRNA from 1 species